UCGGCGGAGCUGCAGCGGACUGGGCCCGGGUGGGACACGGAGUAGAGCCAGGCACCGGGCAGGGGUCGGAUCACCUAUUCAACGCGGGAGAGGUUCAUGCGCCUCGUCCCCGCCGCCCUCUACUCGGUUCCAGAAGGUGACUUAAGACAGCUGGAACAGAAACCCUGAGACCACGCUGCAGGUGCUGAGAGCUGCUUUUCCCGUCUGCUUCAGCCCUAUACCAAGAUAUCAAAGCUGCAGAGACAGUGGACUUUGACAGCAGGGGAGCUAUGCUGCAUCUGCAAGACUCCAUUGUGCAUCAAGGGCAGCUCU